CAAACAUGGCGGACAUGAGAAUGCAAAUGAGGAAAUUGCUGUACUAUUUGCCUGUGGAACAUUACAUUUGUGAAUGAUUUUAUGCCCAAUUGAUCACUGCGUUGUAAUAAGGACUUUUCCUUGAAAACGAUAUUAUUUAUCAUUUUAGCUGGCGACUUUCCCUUCGACUUUCCUCUGCAGGACCUCUCGAAAUUUAUAGAGUUAAGCUUGCUUGAGUGCUGGUCAUUGAGAGAACUCGAGUUUAUUGAACAUUCAAAAAAUGAUUUAUUUUUAAUGGUUGAAAAUAUAUGUCUGGUGUUGGAUGUAUAUCAUGAACAUGCUGCCUUUUUGUAGUUCAAAAGAAAUGUAUGCAAG